rnacentral:rRNA from 1 species
CCCUAUGUGAACCUACUGCCGUUGCCUCGGCGGGCCGCGCUUACCCGGUAGCUACCCUGUAGCUACCCGGUAGCGCGUUACGGGCCUGCCGGUGGACUUCUCAACUCUGUUAUAUAUAUACGUAUCUCUGAAUGCUUCUAACUAAAUAAGUUAAAACUUUCAACAACGGAUCUCUUGGUUCUGGCAUCGAUGAAGAACGCAGCGAAAUGCGAUAAGUAAUGUGAAUUGCAGAAUUCAGUGAAUCAUCGAAUCUUUGAACGCACAUUGCGCCCAUUAGUAUUCUAGUGGGCAUGCCUGUUCGAGCGUCAUUUCAACCCUUAAGCCCUGUUGCUUAGUGUUGGGAUUCUAGGCCCCCAGGGCCCUAGUUCCUCAAAGUGAUCGGCGGAGUCGGCGUAUACUCUGAGCGUAGUAGUGUUCUUCUCGCUUUUGUAGUAGCCCCGGCGGCUUGCCGUAAAACCCCUAUAUCUUAGUGGUUGACCUCGAAUCAGGUAGGAAUACCCGCUGAACUUAAGCAUAUCAUAGCCCGAAGGAAG